GAGACCCAGAGGGGCCCAAAGGCUCGUGGCAGAGCACCUGACCCCUGCCGGUGACCUCAGGAAGGCUCCUGAACCCGUCACAGACCAAGGGAGGGGGUGUAUGCCGAGCUCCCCUCCAGACACAGCGAGAGGAAGAAGUAGCCCCGCUCUCGGCACUGCGGACACCAGUCCCGAGCGCCUGAGCUCCUCCAGCCCCGCAGGGCUGGGCUCGCUACCCCCUCGCACAGGUGGGAAUUAGGCUCAGAGACGCCGAGGGUUUGCCGGACGCGGCGCCGCCGGGAAGAAGGCGGCUCCUCCGGCAUCUGACUGCCCCGCCCAGGCUCCGGCCCGGGGUUCUGAGCGUCUGUCACCCGCCCGGUCGCGUGUCGCUGGGCCCAUCGCGCCGCGGGAUGGCGCGUUUCAGUGCCUAUUAGCACAGCUUCCAGCCGCCCCGCAGCCACCCACGCCUUGCGCUCGCUGCCCAGCCCAGGCUGUUGUCCUGCUGACUCCCGGCUCCGUCCCCAGAGCCCUGACCGCCUGGCAGCUGUCGCGCCCAGGGCACAGCAGCUCAGGGGAAAAGCGAAGAUCUCCUCGCAAGAGAGACGGUUCGCUUCAUAAUUGCUGCUGAGACGACUACGUGCUUCCCCGGCCCUCGCCCGCCGCCAGAGUCCCUCCGCCGCUGGGAGGCCGAUUCAACCAGCCAGCUGCCAGCGGCGCUGAUGUAAAAAUAGAGAGAACAUUCCAGUACCCGGCCAGUUCCAAGGUGGGAAUGGAAUGAGAGGAAGUGAGAGGCUGCAGCCCAUGUCACACUACCGCCUCAGAGCCCAGGGUGCACCCCCUCAGGGCCAGGACUGCCCUGCCGCCCUCCUGCCUGGGACCACCGAUCUGCCUGGUUGCCACACCAGCCGCAGUCCCAAGCUCCGGGUGCCCAUUUCAGUGAGCAUCCGCAGGUGAGUCAGAGACCCGAGAGGCGUGCUGGAACCCCCUCCUGCCCCAGCAAGGCAGCUUCCCUCUCUCUCUCUGCUUAGAACAGUUCCAUGGCUUUCCGCCGCUCUUAGAAUAAAGAAAAAAUAUACAGUCAGCGGUGGAGGGUCUUCAGGCUGGGUCUGCCUCCCCCUGCAUCCUCUCUGCCCACCAGCCUCCCCCAUCCCCACCCCGUCACACCCACCUUUCCACAGGCCAUGAACCUCCAGCCUCCCCACUUCACCUGCUGCUGCCUACUCACCCUCAAAGUACCUCUACUGCCCUGGCUCAGGAGCCCACCCCCUUGGCUUCUUCUAUACUGUCACACCGCACGGCUCUCUUGCAGCCCAUGCUAAAUGGACAGGCUUGCAUUGUUGUUUGAUGAAUUCUGUUUCCCACUCUGCACUGAGGGCUCCCUGAGGCUGAGACCUGGACUCUUCGGCUGGCCUCCUUGUCUCCCAGCACGGUGCCUGCACAUAGUAGGUGCCCAGUAAAAGUUUGUUGAGUAAAUCAGCAAACUUAUAGCUGCAGGUGUGUCAACGAGCAGGGCAAGAGUGGAGUGACAGAGUUCUGGGUGCUUUUGGAAAAUGAGCUAAAGGAUGAUCAAGACUAGGGACUUCCCUGGUGGUGCAGUGGUUAAGAAGCCACCUGCCAACGCAGGAGGCAUGGGCUUGAUCCCUGGUCCAGGAAGAUCCCACAUGCCACGGAGCAACUAAGCCCGUGUGCCACAACUACUGAGCCAGUGCUCUGGAGCCCGCAAGCCACAACUACUGCAGCCUGCGCCCUAGAGCCCGUGCUCCGCAACAAGAGAAGCCACCGCAAUGAGAAGCCGGUGCACCGCAACGAAGAGUAGCCCCCGCUCGCUGCAACUAGAGAAAGCCUGCGCACAGCAACGAAGACCCAACACAGCCAAAAAAAAAAACCUACACACUCCCAACGCAGGAGGCCCAGGUUCGAUCCCUGGUCAGGGAAAUAGAUCCCACAUGCAUGCCUCAACUGAGUUCACAUGCCGUGAUUAAGGAGCCCGCGAGCCGCAACUAAGACCCGGUGCAACCAAAUAAAUAAAUAAAUAUUUUUUUAAAAAAAGAAUAAUCAAGACUAGAUGUUGGAUGUCUUGGCUUCUCCAGCUGAGGGAAGGUUGGCCCCACACCUGCACCUUGGAUAACCAGGAAGACGGCGGAGAAAAAGGACAUCUCGCUGGCUGUGAACCACAACCCUGUGUUCUCGUGUGGCUGGGAACAAAUCUGUUUGCUUCAAAUUGCCUGGAUUGCCCUUUGGAAAAAAUAUGACCACCCGGUGCAGGGCUGGGACUGCGGUGCAGCAAGGGAAGUGCGCAGGGGAGCAGAGGCUUGAGGAAGGGCUGCUUGUGUGGGCUCCACCCUGUCCAGGCUGGACCACUGCGCUCGCUCUCAUGUCAGUGAGAGAUGCCCUGUAAUUUCAGAGGUGCUGAGAUCCCCAGCUUUCAAAUUCCUGGCCUCCACCGCCAGGGCAGCGUAGGAAGAAAUCACUACACAGCGUCUCCCAAGGGAGGCUCUGGGCGUCCCUGGUGAUCCCAGCACGCCGGCCUCCUGGAGCCUGGUUCUCCACCGGCCUGCCCUGCACCAGCGCUAGAGGCCGGAGACGAAACUCAGAGGAAAACCUAGAUUCCAGAGAACCUUCCAAAGACAGAGGGUAAGCAUAGUAGGCAUCCUUUUUAAGCAUUUACUGGAGAAGUUCAAGUGCAGUGUAGUUAUUCCAUGUAGUGCCUCUUGUGCCUGCAAUAGAAGAGACACUCGGUAAAUGCGUGAGUGGACUGGGCGGGAGGGGGAGGGGAGGCAGAACUGUGGGCACUCUGGCUUAGGAAGGGUAAAGGGUAAACAGAGCCUUCUCAGAACUUCAAAGGGCACCUGGAUGUGGAGAAACUCUUUAUAGCACUGGAGUCUCCCCUUUGCUCAUCCCCUUGUCCUGCAUCCUGAGGGGCUUCACAACAGCCCCCCCUUCCUCUCCCAGGGAUCCUGAGCAAGAGAAGUGGGGGGGGGUGUGAUCACAGACUGUCAGAGGAACGGGGACCACCUAGAGCAGAGCUUCCCCCUCCUGUUACCUAUGGAAACCAACGUCCUCCGCGGAGCCAGGGCUGGAACCCAGAGAUGCUCUCCCCAGUGCCAUCUGCCCAGCUCACUCAGGAUGCCUGUGGAGCUCAGAUGGGAGAAAUGACAGGAGCAGUUUAGUCCUUUCAGCGGGGGCCACCUUGGGGUCACGCUUGACACAGCCGUUCUCCGACCCCCGCCUCCAUGGCCCCACCUCCCGCCACCGGCGUGGCUGCAAAUGGAUCUGCCCAAACUCAUCUCUGCUGCUGGAAGUACCAUUCAGGGCUGAGGGCCUAGAGGGGCCUUUUCUUCUCUGUUUAUUUAUUUUUUCAUUUUUCGCUUAAGUAUUUUUAAUAUUAACAUAACACUUAUAUCUUGAAAAUAAUAAAGUUGAAAAGAAUAAUGAAGUAUAAAAAAGGCAGAAAAAAUCACCUAUCACCCCCCAUACAGAAAGCAUCGUGGUAAUUUAUCACUUUGACCGAGUUGCUUUGUCCUUUUGCCCUUCAUUUUUUCCCUGGUCCAAUGGGUCCCUGCUGACACAGGGCACAUUAACAUUGGGCUGAAGGGCUCCAGGCAGCUCUGUCUCCCAGCUGGUGCCCUGUUAUCCUGGGGAAUUUUCAGACCCAGUGUAUUUUUAGGCCCAGGGAAAAUGUAACAGAUUUAAAAUAAGGCAACAGAAUUUGGGGCAAAAUUCCUUAAGCCCAUGUGUGAGAUUUGAGCUGUGUUUCAAGGGUGGCUAAAGCCAGGCCUGCACCGUGAAAGGUGUUGAGUUCUAUUUUUAGGGAAUAUGACAGGCUGAGUUCUUGGAACAACAUUCCUGUGGAAAACAACUAAAAAGCCACAUCAAGUAUUUUGAACAUCUUACAAGACCGAAGAGUUGACAAGAUAGUAAGGAAUCACCAGCAGGACAGUGAUUCUAGAAACAGCUCUUGCCCUGAGAGUGUUUGUUUAUCUCACUUACCUUGCUCUUGGGGUUUAACAGCUUUGCAAAGCUUGAUGCCUCCCUCGUGAAGCUGGGACACGGGUUUACACCACGGGGAAGCGUGAAGGAGUGAGCCAGGGGUAAGCCCUGCCCCACACCGACACUUGAGGAUCAGACAGGCGAGUGGCCCUGGUACCAAGUGUGUGGUAGUGGCGUGGGGUGCAGAUUCCUGGGAAAUUGUAAACUCAGGCUGAGUUCUCACAUGCAUUCGCAGCCCACCUCAUCUGGGGGGACCAGGAGACCUCAGGCGGUGGAUUUAGUUUACCAUCAUUUCAGAUUAGUGGUAUCCCAGGAGAUCCCUGGCAGAAGCAAAUACAAGUCCUUUCUUGAGAGAGUCACCUUUAUUCUGGGUUUCCAAGUGUCCCAGAAAUAAUUCUUCAAAGACAGUGAACGCGACACUGUCAAGUACACAUGGAAAAAGGUAGUGUGAGUAUGAACCGGGACAAUAGGUAAUAGAAAGAAACUCCAAGACUUCAUCCACUAGGAUUAUUAGAUUCAUAUUAUUAAAAACCUAUGCUUGCUCUUUUAAAGAAGAGACAAGCUAACGCAUAUCCAUAGGAAGCAGAAAGCUAUAAAAAUAUGAUCUAGUUAAUUUUAAAAUAAAAUAAUUUCUAAAAUUUUCUAAAAGUUAAAAAUUCAAUACCAGAAAUUUAAAACUGAGCAAAAGGGUUUAACAAUAGAUUAAGUAAUUUAAAGGGAGAAUUAGUAAAUUGGAAGAUCAAUUGGAAGAAAUUACCCACAAUGCAAUUCAGAUAAACCCCCUAAAAUGAAAAAUACAAAAAAAAAUUUUUUCCAUUUAAAAAUUUUAAAAAAACUUUUUUAAUGUAGAGGGUAUCAGAAGUUCUGACAUCUUAUUUUUU